GUGAAUCAUCAAAUUUUUGAACGCAAAUUGCGCCUUCUUUCGGGAGGCAUGUCUGUUGGAGGGCACCAUUUAACAAAUAAUGUGCGGGUCGCUAGGCGGCGUGCACACGUUGAUGAGCUUUUCCGAAAAACCAGGUGUGUUGGGUGGCGCAUAGUGAACAGCGUGGGCUUUUUCCUUGGAUUCUCGUGUAGUAAGUAAAUUUUCGACGCAUGGUUUGAGAAAAAGGGCGUGGCGCG
rnacentral:misc_RNA from 1 species